GACGAACGCUGGCGGCGUGCUUAACACAUGCAAGUCGAACGCUGAAGCCCUUUCGGGGGUGGAUGAGUGGCGAACGGGUGAGUAACACGUGGGUAAUCUGCCCUGUACUUCGGGAUAAGCCUUGGAAACGGGGUCUAAUACCGGAUAGGACCUGUCCUCGCAUGGGGGUGGGUGGAAAGUUCCGGCGGUAUGGGAGGAGCCCGCGGCCUAUCAGCUUGUUGGUGGGGUAGUGGCCUACCAAGGCGACGACGGGUAGCCGGCCUGAGAGGGUGACCGGUCACACUGGGACUGAGACACGGCCCAGACUCCUACGGGAGGCAGCAGUGGGGAAUCUUACGCAAUGGGCGAAAGCCUGACGCAGCAACGCCGCGUGGGGGAUGACGGCCUUCGGGUUGUAAACCUCUUUCGACAUCGACGAAGGGGCCCUGUUGUGGGGUUUUGACGGUAGGUGUAGAAGAAGCACCGGCUAACUACGUGCCAGCAGCCGCGGUAA
rnacentral:rRNA from 1 species